AGGACGAACGCUGGCGGCGUGCUUAACACAUGCAAGUCGAGCGGAAAGGCCCUUCGGGGUACUCGAGCGGCGAACGGGUGAGUAACACGUGAGCAACCUGCCCUUAGCUUCGGGAUAGCUCCGGGAAACCGGAAUUAAUACCGGAUAUGACUAUGGCCGACAUCAGCCAUGGUGGAAAGUUUUUCGGCCAGGGAUGGACUCGCGGCCUAUCAGCUAGUUGGUGAGGUAACGGCUCACCAAGGCUACGAUCGGUAGCUGGUCUGAGAGGAUGACCAGCAUCACUGGGACUGAGACACGGCCCAGACUCCUACGGGAGGCAGCAGUGGGGAAUAUUGGACAAUGGGCGCAAGCCUGAUCCAGCCAUGCCGCGUGGAUGAUGACGGCCUUAGGGUUGUAAAGUCCUUUUAACGGGGAAGAUAAUGACGGUACCCGUAGAAUAAGCCCGGCUAACUUCGUGCCAGCAGCCGC
rnacentral:rRNA from 1 species